AUUGAACGCUGGCGGCAGGCUUAACACAUGCAAGACGCGUGGGGUGAUGGUGCUUGCACUAUCACUUAGCGGCGGACGGGUGAGUAAUGCUUAGGAAUCGGCCUAAUAGUGGGGGACAACAUCUCGAAAGGGAUGCUAAUACCGCAUACGUCCUACGGGAGAAAGCAGGGGAUCACUUGUGACCUUGCGCUAAUAGAUGAGCCUAAGUCGGAUUAGCUAGUUUGUGGGGUGAAGGCCUACCAAGGCGACGAUCUGUAGCGGGUCUGAGAGGAUGAUCCGCCACACUGGGACUGGGAAACGGCACAGACUCCUACGGGAGGCAGCAGUGGGGAAUAUUGGACAAUGGGGGGAACCCUGAUCCAGCCAUGCCGCGUGUGUGAAGAAGGCCUUAUGGUUGUAAAGCACUUUAAGCGAGGAGGAGGCUCUUUUGGUUAAUACCCAAGAUGAGUGGACGUUACUCGCAGAAUAAGCACCGGCUAACUCUGUGCCAGCAGCCGCCGUAA
rnacentral:rRNA from 1 species